UCUUCUGCUCAUUUCAAGACCGAAACAAUUUUAAUCAGAAGUCAAUGUAUUCAGGGCCCGUCGCUGCCAUGCCUUGGCUUCGUCAGUCUGUCUGUCAAUUGGCUGCAAAGUGCUCGAGAGCUACCAUGAAUCAACGCUCUGUUACAUUGACGUAAGCUGGCAAACAGUGAAUCACAACGCAGAUGUGAAGACGUUUCAAAUUUAACUGCAUCUCAACUACCACAGAACGAAGGAUCUGAGACCAUGCAAACUCGCAUAAAGGAGUCUACAAGGCGUCACAAUCCAGAAUAUCGUCACAUUCGCCGCCUUGAGAGAACAUCAGAUCUCACAAACAAUAACAAGAUUUAAGGUUAUCACGGCGGUAAAGAGAUCGAUGUUCAACAUUUGGCAUGUAACGCCACGUGUACCCGGACAAAUAAACCAAAAUCCCCGAGGUAAAAUACUGCCUCCAGGAAGGAAGUCGUCAACCCUGAAUAUAAAGGCAGUACGUUCCUCAGAAUAUUUCAAACCAACCGAAAAGUUCAGACGUCUUUAUAACUGAACAGGACAACAUCUGUAAUUAUAAUAAUUAAUUAGAUCAAGGCAGUAGUCAAAUUAAGGUAAUAUCGAGUAAGAUUCAAUAAAAUGAACCGAAAUAUUGUUAAA